rnacentral:sRNA from 1 species
AUUUUUUUGGUUUUUUC